UGUUUCUGGAGAUUGCCAUUAGCCAAGCUGUCUGGUUCGUGGGCAUGCAAUUGCCACCCCCUCCUGUGUGCCUGCUUGUUUCUAUGGGUCCCUGUGACCUCUUCUUCAACAGCAGCGGCCGGAAGAACAACAGCUGCUGUUCAUAAACAUUGCUUUACACCUCCUGUCAACCAUUGGAAUUUGUCGCUGCUUUGUUUUGAGUCUGGAACCCCAGCCCAUGAAACGUACUGCGCCAAUGGAUUGUCCUACCUGGGAUGGCAUCGUGCUCUCGGAUGCACUAGUAUCUGAUUUCCUCUCUGUAUCGGCUGCUUUCGUAUUCAACCAAAGGAUCUGACAGAAACAGCCUAAGAAGGAAAGUUUAUUUCGACUCCUGGUUUCAGAGUGGGGCAGACAUGUGAGAGCCCACCGCAGCCGGAGCAUGUGAUGGAAGACCCUUCACGUCACAGUGGGCCAGGGCUAGAGGCUGGGCUAUCUUCUGAGGUCUGACUUAAAUGACCUCCUUCCGCUAGCAAAGCUCCACUUCCCAUUCCACAGCCUCCCAGGAUAGAACCACCACAUGGGGAAUGAGCUCUCAAAGCCUGAGCCUGUGGGGGCACUUCAGAGUCAAGCCGCAAUAUUCUACCACUGGACCCAAAGGCUCGUGGGCAUCUCGUGACUAGAGCUGCAUCGUGUCUAAUUUUAAGAAUUCCUGUAGUCUUAAUAGUCUCAACGUUGUUCCAGAGUCCAGUGUCUCUUCUGAGGCCCAAGAGAAAACUCCGGGCUGUGAGCCAUUCAAUCAAAACUGAAAUGGCGUAUAAGAGGACAUAGGCUGAAUGCUGCCAUUCUAAAAGAAACAAGAGGGCAGCAAAAAAAGAUAGGAUCAAAGCAAGACUGAAACCUGGCAUGAUGACCAUUAAAUCCUGUAGUUUCUCAGGCAGCAUCAGGCACACGCAGCCCUGAGUGCACACACACUUGUACAGUGUCAGACACACAUAGCCCCUAGGCAUACGCAGCUUCUGAGAGCCCACUUUGUUGUACCAAAGAAAAUACUUCUAGUCAGUGCUUUUCUAGGAGGGCUUUAAAACUUUCUUUAAAAUUGUUUUUAUCCAUACAUUUCGAUCAUACAUUUUCCUUUCCCCCAACUUCUCCCAUCUCCUCCCCAUCUCCCUACUCUACACAGCUUCACGUCUUUUCUCUCAUAAGAAAAAGAAAAAUGAAAGAGA